rnacentral:rRNA from 1 species
GGGUUUGAUCCUGGCUCAGGAUGAACGCUGGCGGUAUGCUUAACACAUGCAAGUCGAACGGGGACUUUUCGGAGUCCUAGUGGCGGACGGGUGAGUAACGCGUGAGAACGUGCCUAUUGAAUGGGGACAACAGUUGGAAACGACUGCUAAUACCGAAUGAGCCUUUAGGGGUAAAAGAUUUAUCGUCAAUAGAUCGGCUCGCGUCAGAUUAGGUAGUUGGAGUGGUAACGGCACACCAAGCCUGCGAUCUGUACUUGGUCUGAGAGGAUGACCAGGCACGCUGGAACUGAGACACGGUCCAGACUCCUACGGGAGGCAGCAGUGGGGAAUUUUCCGCAAUGGGCGCAAGCCUGACGGAGCAAUACCGCGUGAGGGAGGACGGCUUUUGGGUUGUAAACCUCUUUUAUCAGGGAAGAAACGAUGACGGUACCUGAUGAAUCAGCAUCGGCUAACUCCGUGCCAGCAGCCGCGGUAAUACGGAGGAUGCAAGCGUUAUCCGGAAUUAUUGGGCGUAAAGCGUCCGUAGGUGGCUAUAUAAGUCUUCUGUCAAAGCGUGCAGCUUAACUGCAUACGGGCGGAGGAAACUAUAAAGCUAGAGUGCGAUAGGGGUCACAGGAAUUCCCAGUGUAGCGGUGAAAUGCGUAGAUAUUGGGAAGAACACCAGCGGCGAAAGCGUGUGACUGGGUCUGCACUGACACUGAGGGACGAAAGCUAGGGGAGCGAAAGGGAUUAGAUACCCCUGUAGUCCUAGCCGUAAACGAUGACAACUAGGUGUGGUUCGUAUCGACCCGAGCCGUGCCGUAGCCAACGCGUUAAGUUGUCCGCCUGGGGAGUACGCACGCAAGUGUGAAACUCAAAGGAAUUGACGGGGGCCCGCACAAGCGGUGGAGUAUGUGGUUUAAUUCGAUGCAACGCGAAGAACCUUACCAAGGCUUGACAUCCUCGGAACCCUUCUGAAAGGA